GAACCAUGAACGAAGAAAUGAACGAGAGAGAAGCCUUUUGACUAGUGAUUGUAAGGCCCCAAUUCUUGAUUAGAGGGGACACCAAAGGCCUUCUGCCCUUCAAUCCAUUGGAUGGAUAGAGAGGGGGGGCAGAGCUUUUGGUUUUUUCAUUUUGUCAAAAAGUUGAACAAUAAUUUUUCGUGUUGUCAAGGACUUGAAAAAUGAGAAUAGAUGGCGAGUGCCUGAUUGAAUUGAUCAGAUCAUGUAUGAACAAGGUUCAAGUCUACCAGUCUAUUAGGAUGCCUCAACUACAUACAUCACUACACUUCCACUUGACACCGAUCGUAAUGAUAAAAGGCUCGUCUCGUCGUGACCUUCUCUUAAAUUCUCAAAACUUUUAUCGCUUGAUCCUCCUAUGGGUAGAAAACCUAUUACUAUCUCUGUUGUGUUACUGAAAGCUCUGGGGAAGUCAAAAUAUGAGAGCACUCAUCUUAGGGUGGGCUUACUACUUAGAUACAUCACUACACUUCCACUUGACUACCCAACGUUUAUCAUGGGCACGAUAACUAGUACACUAGAGAUGUGUCCUUCACGAUCCUCUAGUACUAGGGAAAGUGUUGGGAAUCUACUUAACGUGAGCAACGG
rnacentral:lncRNA from 1 species